GACGAACCGAGCGAACGUUGUUCGGAAUAACUGGGCUUAAAGGGCGCGUAGGCGGGCCGCCAAGUUCGAGGUGAAAUCCUCCGGCUCAACCGGAGAACUGCCUCGAAUACUGGAGGCCUCGAGGCGGGUAGGGGCGUGCGGAACUGUGGGUGGAGCGGUGAAAUGCGUUGAUAUCCACAGGAACUCCGGUGGCGAAGGCGGCACGCUGGACCCGAUCUGACGCUGAGGCGCGAAAGCCAGGGAGCAAACGGG
rnacentral:rRNA from 1 species